GUUUCCAGGAUUAGCUACUCCAUCACCUUCCAAGGAUGAGUCUGACUGGCCUGUAAUCCCCUGGGUCCCCCUUCUUGAAGACAGGAUGACAUUUGCUUUCUUCUACUCUUCAGGCGCUCCUCCCAGUUUUUGUGAUGCUGCAAAAACAGAUCUACAAGCGUGAAAGCAGUAGGCUGCAAGAAUUGGAGUGUCUCCACUGACUCCAAGUUAACUGCUGACAUUAUAAAAGCAACCACUUCCAAGAAGAUGUAAUGACAAAAUUCCUAAAUUUGGAUGUCUGCUUCAUUACGCUUACCCAUAUUUGCAUUUCUUCAGGACUUUUUCCGGCUCCUAUUACCACUUGAAAUGUUACUGGUGAAUCUGUUCUCAUGUGUGACUUUUGACUAAGUGAAUGGAAAUAAAGUGAAGGAUCAACCUUUUA